UAAUAAACGUGUUAAAACACUGUAGUGUGACACCAUAUGAACAUAAUGAUAAACACACCAGGAUGGUUAAUAUGGAAUACCAGUUCAUAGAGUAGAAUGAGUUUAGUUGGUAAUUUGGAUUUUGGAGGCCUUGCUUGUAUGGUGCUUGGAAAGGAUUAGGAAACAUUCUUUUGUUUGUGAGACAGCUCGAGUCAGUUUUAAGGCUGUGAAUGGAUUUUUGAGACAGGCAG
rnacentral:misc_RNA from 1 species